rnacentral:rRNA from 1 species
UACCCCGAGGAAAAGAAAUCAACCGAGAUUCCCCCAGUAGCGGCGAGCGAACGGGGAGGAGCCCAGAGCCUGAAUCAGCAUGUGUGUUAGUGGAAGCGUCUGGAAAGGCGCGCGAUACAGGGUGACAGCCCCGUACACAAAAGCGCAUGUGCUGUGAGCUCGAUGAGUAGGGCGGGACACGUGGUAUCCUGUCUGAAUAUGGGGGGACCAUCCUCCAAGGCUAAAUACUCCUGACUGACCGAUAGUGAACCAGUACCGUGAGGGAAAGGCGAAAAGAACCCCGGCGAGGGGAGUGAAAAAGAACCUGAAACCGUGUACGUACAAGCAGUGGGAGCACCCUUUGGGGUGUGACUGCGUACCUUUUGUAUAAUGGGUCAGCGACUUAUAUUCUGUAGCAAGGUUAACCGCAUAGGGGAGCCGGAGGGAAACCGAGUCUUAAUUGGGCGUUAAGUUGCAGGGUAUAGACCCGAAACCCGGUGAUCUAGCCAUGGGCAGGUUGAAGGUUGGGUAACACUAACUGGAGGACCGAACCGACUAAUGUUGAAAAAUUAGCGGAUGACCUGUGGCUGGGGGUGAAAGGCCAAUCAAACCGGGAGAUAGCUGGUUCUCCCCGAAAGCUAUUUAGGUAGCGCCUCGUGAAUUCAUCUCCGGGGGUAGAGCACUGUUUCGGCUAGGGGGCCAUCCCGGCUUACCAACCCGAUGCAAACUGCGAAUACCGGAGAAUGUUAUCACGGGAGACACACGGCGGGUGCUAACGUCCGUCGUGAAGAGGGAAACAACCCAGACCGCCAGCUAAGGUCCCAAAGUCAUGGUUAAGUGGGAAACGAUGUGGGAAGGCCCAGACAGCCAGGAUGUUGGCUUAGAAGCAGCCAUCAUUUAAAGAAAGCGUAAUAGCUCACUGGUCGAGUCGGCCUGCGCGGAAGAUGUAACGGGGCUAAACCAUGCACCGAAGCUGCGGCAGCGACACUCAGGUGUUGUUGGGUAGGGGAGCGUUCUGUAAGCCUGCGAAGGUGUGUCGUGAGGCAUGCUGGAGGUAUCAGAAGUGCGAAUGCUGACAUAAGUAACGAUAAAGCGGGUGAAAAGCCCGCUCGCCGGAAGACCAAGGGUUCCUGUCCAACGUUAAUCGGGGCAGGGUGAGUCGACCCCUAAGGCGAGGCCGAAAGGCGUAGUCGAUGGGAAACGGGUUAAUAUUCCCGUACUUGGUGUUACUGCGAAGGGGGGACGGAGAAGGCUAUGUUGGCCGGGCGACGGUUGUCCCGGUUUAAGCGUGUAGGUGUGUGUUCCAGGUAAAUCCGGUUC